AUUGAACGCUGGCGGAAUGCUUUACACAUGCAAGUCGAACGAUGAAGUCUAGCUUGCUAGACGAAUUAGUGGCGAACGGGUGAGUAAUAUAUCGGAACGUAUCCAUUAAUGGGGGAUAACUAGUCGAAAGAUUGGCUAAUACCGCAUACGUCGUACGGGAGUAAACUAGGGACCUUCGGGCCUGGCGGUAAUGGAGAGGACGAUAUCUGAUUAGCUAGUUGGUGAGGUAAAGGGUCACCAAGGAGACGAUGAGUAGCUGGUCUGAGAGGACGACCAGCCACACUGGAACUGAGACACGGUCCAGACUCCUACGGGAGGCAGCAGUGGGGAAUUUUGGACAAUGGGCGAAGCCUGAUCCAGCAAUGCCGCGUGUGUGAAGAAGGCCUUCGGGUUGUAAAGCACUUUUGUCCGGAAAGAAAUGGCUCUGGUUAAUACCUGGGGUCGAUGACGGUACCGGAAGAAUAAGGACCGGCUAACUACGUGCCAGCCGCCGCGGUAA
rnacentral:rRNA from 1 species